rnacentral:rRNA from 1 species
CAGCAGGCGCGAAACCUUAGCAAUGUGCGAAAGCACGACUGGGUCAGUCCGAGUGAUUCCUGAUAAAGGAGUCUUUUACUUGUCCUAAAAGCACAGGUGAAUAAGGGGUGGGCAAGUCUGGUGUCAGCCGCCGCGGUAAUACCAGCACCUCGAGUGGUCAGGACGUUUAUUGGGCCUAAAGCAUCCGUAGCCGGCUUUGCAAGUCUUCGGUUAAAUCCACCUGCUCAACAGAUGGGCCGCUGGAGAUACUACAAAGCUAGGGAGUGGGAGAGGCAGACGGUAUUCAGUGGGUAGGGGUAAAAUCCUCUGAUCCAUUGAGGACCACCAGUGGCGAAGGCGGUCUGCCAGAACACGUUCGACGGUGAGGGAUGAAAGCUGGGGGAGCAAACCGGAUUAGAUACCCGGGUAGUCCCAGCUGUAAACGAUGCAAACUCGGUGAUGCAUUGGCUUAUGGCCAAUGCAGUGCCGCAGGGAAGCCGUUAAGUUUGCCGCCUGGGAAGUACGGACGCAAGUCUGAAACUUAAAGGAAUUGGCGGGGGA